UACAGAGGUCUCAAGCGUUGUUCGGAUUCAUUGGGCGUAAAGGGUGCGUAGGCGGCGCGGUAAGUCGGGGUGUGAAAUCUCGGGAGCUUAACUCCGAAACUGCAUUCGAUACUGCCGUGCUUGAGGACUGGAGAGGAGACUGGAAUUUACGGUGUAGCGGUGAAAUGCGUAGAUAUCGUAAGGAAGACCAGUGGCGAAGGCGGGUCUCUGGACAGUUCCUGACGCUGAGGCACGAAGGCCAGGGGAGCAAACGGG
rnacentral:rRNA from 1 species